UACGAAGGGGGCUAGCGUUGUUCGGAAUUACUGGGCGUAAAGGGCGCGUAGGCGGUGUGUCAAGUCAGGCGUGAAAGCCCCGGGCUCAACCUGGGAACAGCGCUUGAGACUGGCACGCUCGAGUUCGGGAGAGGAUGGUGGAAUUCCCAGUGUAGAGGUGAAAUUCGUAGAUAUUGGGAAGAACACCUGCGGCGAAGGCGGGUAGCUGGGCCGACACUGACGCUGAGGCGCGAAAGCCAGGGGAGCGAACGGG
rnacentral:rRNA from 1 species